UGUCCCCGCCCCCUCCUCAGAUCCACGCCUCUCCCGGCCACCCCCUCCUCAGAUCCACGCCACUCUCCCCACCGACCCCUCCUCCUCCUCAUCCUCAGAUCCCGCGCAGCAGGCGAGUGAGCGAUGCGCGGCCACUCGGCAUGGCGCGCUGCUCCGUCUCCACCACGCGCGGGCGGAAGUUCAGGCAGGCGGCCGCUCGACGUGGCGCGCGGCUCCGCCACGCGCGAGCGAAAGGGCAGACAGGCAGCUGCUCGGCGCGGCGUAGGCAGGCGGAUCUCGAUGGAGGCAUGCAGUGGGCACGCUCGGCGUUCUCCAGUUCUACAGGCGGAUAUCUAGCUCGGGAUGGUCCGCAACUUGCUGGAGUCUUCCACGGCAGGGUCUUUUCCGUGGCUGGUGGCUCAGGCGCCCUUCCUUCCUCGAACCUGGUUGUGAAAUGGUCCAUCCACAAGUUCUCGUGUCCUCCAGCGUGAUGCAGCUGCUUUAAGAGGAUGCAGAUCGUGGCCAAGGCACCUAUGGUAAUUGCGUCUACUGUGUAGGGUCAGAUAGCUUGUUCUAAGUCAGAUAAGAGCAUGUUUAAGCUACAGGGUAAAAUGGUCUUUGAGAUUGCAUGUUGUUGCUGCUAGUUUAUAGUAGUGGACUAGUUGAAAAUUGCCAUGGUGCAAUUAUUGUAAGAUCUUGUGAUAGAUUAAAACUUAAGUUAGACUAUGGUUUCACGCUGAAUAAAAACCUGUUUUCUUGUGUGUAUAUGCUGAGAUGGAUCAAAGCUUAUUUCAUGUAAUGAAUGAAAAUUUUAAUUUGUUGUGUUUAAUUA